GAUGAAGAACGCAGCGAAAUGCGAUACUUGGUGUGAAUUGCAGAAUCCCGUGAACCAUCGAGUCUUUGAACGCAAGUUGCGCCCGAAGCCAUCAGGUUGAGGGCACGUCUGCCUGGGCGUCACAUAUCGUUGCCCAAUGCCUAUUGCAGUGCAAUAGGAAUUUCUAGGGCGAAUGAUGGCUUCCCGUGAGCGUUGUUGCCUCGCGGUUGGUGGAAAAUCGAGUCCUUGGUAGGGUGUGCCAUGGUAGAUGGUGGUCGAGUUAGAACGAUACCGAUCAUGUGCAUGCUCCCCAAAAUAUGGCCUCUAUGACCCACACGCGUCUUUUGACGCUCAUGACGAGACCUCAGGUCAGGCGGGGCUACCCGCUGAAUUUAAGCAUAUCAAUAAGCGGAGGA
rnacentral:misc_RNA from 1 species